AUGAAGUCUCCACCGAGGCGGACGCAAGGUGAAGAAGGGGCUUCCGGGAGCUCGCGCCUCGCCCCGCCGAUCCCGGGCCCCCUGCGACCGGAAACAAGCCCAACCCGCCACGCCGCCGGGGAAUUCUGGGCCACGGCGGGAGGGCUUGUGACCGCACGAGGAGGAAACAGUCUUUUAAAAAAUAAAAACGAGAAGACACGAGGCUGUCCCCGGGAAGGGCACACAAUCAUAAAAGGCUGAAUCCCAUGGAUCCAGGUGACAGGUGCCAUGAUUUGCCCUAGAGGGAGGGUGUGAUACUUCUGGAGGGAUUUAUAGUAUGACUUGGACAUAGGAGGAAGCUGGAACCAGGAAUGACAACUUCCAGGUAUCUGUCUUGAGGAAAUAGGAAGACGACAGUGCCACUUAAUGAGGAAGCAAUAAAACUGAAAACUGGUUUUGGGCAGGUUGCAUAUGAGGUGUAGUUGUCCUUAAAAGGUAAAGUUCAGAGGGAUCAUCUGAGAUUGAAAGAUGCAACUGAGAAUUUCCAACCGUAGAUGCUUCAGGAAAGGACGGCAUCACCUGCACAGACAAAAAAAGCACAGGGAUGGAGCCCUAAGGAACACUUAGAGGGCAAAGAGCAGAAGCUACUGGCAAGGAAGGAAGAAAACUAGGGAAAUACUCAGUGGAAGAGAAAAUAUCAUGAAAGGAGGAAAGCGCCUCUUGAAACUCAAAGAUGAUAGUUAAGGAGCAAAACAAGUUUAAAGCUACAAGGACAAAAAAAAGGAACAAGUAAAGUGUGUAAUCUAAAGUUUAAUAAUAUUUGGGACAUUGUAAACAGAAAAGUAUAGCAUCAAGUUUGGAGUCAUUAGCAGCUGCAGGCAAAAGUGGAUUUCAAAUGAGUGAUUUUGGAAUCACUCAGCUGUUGUUCAGCUGAGGUGGAAGAGAAGAGGUGGCUGGAGAUGAGGAAGUCAGAGGUCCAAAGUCUAAGAGCUCUAGGGAAGGACAAGUUGCCACAAAAAGGUGACACUUCUGAGACUAAUGCAGAUGGUAGUAGGUAUGCAUGAAAUCUGUGGUUCCAUUCCUAGGAUAUAAAUCUAGACCUGUAGAUCACAAUAGAGAUAUAAUAUAUUAUAGAAUAUAUUAAUUUAGUAUAUAUUUCAUAUAUGUCUUUUUUUUUUUUUUUGCAGUACUUGGAUUGAACUCAUGGCCUCAUGCAUACUAGGCAAAUGUUCUACAACUAAGCUACAUUC
rnacentral:lncRNA from 1 species